AUGAUAGUAAGUAAAGAUCUUGAGCAGAAAUUUAAAAAAGUUUUUAGAUAUUCUUCUAACCAAUUUCCAGAAAAUUUCUCGCUAGAGGACAAAGCUCAUUACCCUAGAAAAGGGAUAACAUGCUAGUAGGACAAUCUGUAUCAUAGAGAGAGGCUAACAUUAAGAGUGAGAUCAGUGACAUUGCAGAAGCAAAGAAGGAAAGUAGCUAUUGCUAAAAAAGCACGCAAAAUCUGACAAUACUCAAUAAACGAAUGGGGGAUCCAAUAAACGAUCAAAAGCUCCGGAUUUAUCAAAUAAACCAGCAAAGAAUGCUUCUUUGGCAAAAGAACAACCAGGAGAGAUGGUACUCAUACAAAAGAGGUUGUUCAAAAAGUGGAUAAUGCCGAGUUAAUGCUAAUCUUCCAAAACGACAAGAAGAUCGCGCUAAACAACGAAAAGUUCUUA